rnacentral:rRNA from 1 species
CGGUAAUUCCAGCUCCAAUAGCGUAUACUAAAGUUGUUGCAGUUAAAAAGCUUGUAGUUGGAUUUCUGCGGGGACGGAGCGGCCGGUCGCAACUUGCGACUCGAGCUAGCGCUUUCCCCGCAUCCUGCCGCGAACCGUGCUACCAUUAGCUUGGUGGCGCUGGGGAUCGGCUCGAUUACUUUGAGAAAAAUAGAGUGUUCAAAGCAGGCCACACGCCUUGAAUAAGUUAGCAUGGAAUAAUGACUAAGGACUUCGGUUCUAUUUUGUUGGUGUUCGGGACUGAAGUAAUGAUUGAUAGGGACAGUUGGGGCGGUCUGUAUUCCAAAGCGAGAGGUGAAAUUCUUAGACCUUCGGAAGACAAACAGCUGCGAAAGCGUUCCGCAAGGAUGUUCCCUUUGAUCAAGAACGAAAGUUGGGGGAUCGAAGACGAUCAGAUACCGUCGUAGUCUCAACUAUAAACUAUACCAGCUAGGGAUCGGUCAACGUUUAAUCAUUCGACUUGAUCGGCACCUUAUGAGAAAUCAAAGCAUCUGGGUUCCGGGGGGAGUAUGGUCGCAAGGCUGAAACUUAAAGGAAUUGACGGAAGGGCACCACCAGCCGUGGAGCCUGUGGCUUAAUUUGACUCAACACGGGAAAACUUACCAGGUCCAGACAUAGUAAGGAUUGACAGAUUGAUAGCUCUUUCUUGAUUCUGCGGGUGGUGGUGCAUGGCCGUUCUUAGUUGGUGGAGUGAUUUGUCUGGUUAAUUCCGUUAACGAACGAGACCCCAGCCUGCUAAAUAGCGCGGCUGAGCUUUGCUCGGUGCGAGCUUCUUAGAGGGACUAUGAUGCGCGAUAGCACAUGGAAGUUUGGGGCAAUAACAGGUCUGUGAUGCCCUUAGAUGUUCUGGGCCGCACACGGGCUACACUGGCGCCUGCAACGAGCAUAUCAGCUGGCCCGAGAGGGUCUUGGCUAAUCUUUUGAACCGGCGCCGUGCUUGGGAUUGACCAUUGCAAUUGUUGGUCAUGCAACGAGGAAUGCCUUGUAAACGCGAGUCAUCAGCUCGCAUUGAAUACGUCCCUGCCCUUUGUACACACCGCCCGUCGCUCCUACCGAUGAAUGUUCCGAUGAAAUUUUCGGAGAGCGCCAGAGAACGGGGCUCUGCCUUGCAGAUCUGGAGGCUCAAAGUCACUUAAAUCUGAACAUUUCGAGGAAGGAGAAGUCGUAACAAGGUAGCCG